rnacentral:rRNA from 1 species
UACGUAGGGUGCAAGCGUUAAUCGGAAUUACUGGGCGUAAAGCGUGCGCAGGCGGCUUUGCAAGACAGAUGUGAAAUCCCCGGGCUUAACCUGGGAACUGCAUUUGUGACUGCAAGGCUGGAGUGCGGCAGAGGGGGAUGGAAUUCCGCGUGUAGCAGUGAAAUGCGUAGAUAUGCGGAGGAACACCGAUGGCGAAGGCAAUCCCCCUGGGCCUGCACUGACGCUCAUGCACGAAAGCGUGGGGAGCAAACAGG